ACUGCGAGGCAGGCAGUGAUGCUGCGGCCGCUUCGCACUGUGGCUCCUGCCGACCGCCAGGCGCUGUUACAGUGGAUGCGAACUAACCGUAAGUAUGCAGCAGCAGCCGGAACCCACAGUUCACCUUGGUGCAUUCCUUUAUGAUGAAGACUUAUUGAUUCAUUAUAUGAGAAAGGAAAAAUGAGCAGAAACUACUGUAUGAUGUGCAGCUCACACCAGACAGCAACUUUAGGGUUAUCUUUCCAGUUCAGCAGUGCAACUCUAUGGAGUAGAAUUGAAAGGAGACUUUUCGCCAAUUGCAGGAAAUGGUCAUAAAAAAAUACCUGCUCACUGACAGAAUAAAGGUACCUUUUAACUUAGUCAAAUCUCUUUUGCAUUGUUUUCCAAUCUGUUCUUGGUUGCCAUUGUAUAGAAACAGAUUGAAUUCUCUUAAAUAUUUUAAAACAUUAAUAGAGAUGAAUUGUUGUAAUUAUAUCCUAUUCACAUAUUUCUCUCUUCCCUGAUUUUAUUGGAAAGUAAAAUUUUUUGAAUUGUCUUCCUACCAGAUACAGUUUUGGUAGCAGCA
rnacentral:lncRNA from 1 species